rnacentral:rRNA from 1 species
UGGGGAAUCUUGCGCAAUGGCCGAAAGGCUGACGCAGCGACGCCGCGUGUGGGAUGACGCCUUUCGGGGUGUAAACCACUGUUGCCCGGGACGAACUGCCUUUUUCGAGAGGCUUGACGGUACCGGGUGAGGAAGCACCGGCUAACUCCGUGCCAGCAGCCGCGGUAAUACGGAGGGUGCGAGCGUUGUCCGGAAUCACUGGGCGUAAAGGGCGCGUAGGCGGCCCGGCAAGUCAGUGGUGAAAGCCCGAGGCUCAACUUCGGGUCGGCCACUGAUACUGCUAGGCUUGAGUCGACUAGAGGCAGAUGGAAUUCCGGGUGUAGCGGUGGAAUGCGUAGAGAUCCGGAAGAACACCGGUGGCGAAGGCGGUCUGCUGGGGUCGAACUGACGCUGAGGCGCGACAGCGUGGGGAGCAAACAG